GCAAGUCGAGGGGUAACAUAGUAGCUUGCUACUGAUGACGACCGGCGCACGGGUGCGCACCGCGUAUGGAACCUACCUUUUACAGGGGAAUAGCCUUUGGAAACGAAGAUUAAUGCCCCAUAGCAUCAUUAUGCAGCAUUGCAUUUUGAUUAAAGGCUUCGGCCGGUAAAAGAUGGCCAUGCGUCCCAUUAGUUAGUUGGUAAGGUAACGGCUUACCAAGACUACGAUGGGUAGGGGCCCUGAGAGGGAGACC
rnacentral:rRNA from 1 species